UGCCUACGGGACGCAGCAGUGAGGAAUAUUGGUCAAUGGGCGCUAGCCUGAACCAGCCAAGUAGCGUGAAGGAUGACUGCCCUAUGGGUUGUAAACUUCUUUUAUAUGGGAAUAAAGUGCAGUAUGUAUACUGCUUUGCAUGUACCUUAUGAAUAAGGAUCGGCUAACUCCGUGCCAGCAGCCGCGGUAAUACGGAGGAUCCGAGCGUUAUCCGGAUUUAUUGGGUUUAAAGGGUGCGUAGGCGGACUGGAAAGUCAGCGGUAAAAUCGAGAGGCUCAACCUCUUUCCGCCGUUGAAACUGUCGG
rnacentral:rRNA from 1 species